GCCCAGUAGGAGAUGAUGUCGGGGAGGUGAUGGGCUGUCAGAUCAUGGGGGGCCUGGUGGGCCAUGGCAAGUCUAUUGGCUUUUGCUUUGCAUGAGAUGGGGGAGUUUUGAGCAGAGCGCUCCAGUCCGAGUUGGGCUUUAACAGAAUCACUCUGGCUGCUCUGUUGACAACAAAUUGAAGGAGGACAAAGGUGAAAGUGGAGAGACCUGUUAAGAGGCCAGCAGAAACUCACUUUUAUCAACUUCAACAGUCAAGUAAACACUUUCUGAGACCACCUAUGUGUCAGCAGCUGAGCUAGGCUCUGUGAGGAGCUUCAUGGGACCCCAACAUGCUUCCAGAGUAAUUGGGGAUGAUGGUUGAAUUUUGUCCAGAAGAAACACCUGGUGAACUCCGGAGACUGCAACCCAGCUGAACAAAGACAUAUCAUCUCCUUCUGCCACUGCACAAGAAGACCUCACAGGCUGCAACCCUUCCCAUGCCCACUUCCAUGAGGGAACAUCAGGACUUUUUCAAGUGUGCUUGAAUCCCUGAAGAUGGGCAUGCGAUACCAACUUUCCGCUUGAAUUGGCAGCUGCUUCUGGUAACUAUUCAGGAGUUGAAUUUCUGGGUCAGAUGACGAGUGGAUGUUUACCUUUAUAAGCAACACCCAAACCGUUUUCCAAAGUUGUCUCAUCCUCUUAUGGUGCCAUCAGCAGUUACAGCUGCUCCACACUGUUGCCAAGACAAUGAUGCAGCCCUAGCCAAGUGGAGGGUCGUGUUCCUGUGGCCUCAGUGAUUGGCUAAGGAAUGGCACAUCAUCCAAUCAGAAACACACUGUGACUUUUUUGCGGAAUGUCAGAAAAGACAUCCUCUUUUCCAUUGGACUAGAACCUACAAGGAUAAAAGCAGAAACUGAAGUGGCCAUCUUGCUUCCAUGAGGGUAAAAUCCUUGUGAGAAUGGAGCCAACACAGAGGGAGGAGGGCAGAUAAAUAGAGACAACAGAUACUGGUGAUGCUUUCUGUGUACCUGGAUUCAGGCACACCUGAAGUCAUCUUUCCUCUGGCCUUUUCAGUUUUACAACUCAAUCAAACCAUGCCUUAGUCCUGACAUGUUUUGAUCAAGCCAUCUCUAGAUUCUAAUCAAGGGACCACAUAACCCCAGUUCUUAGAAACUUUGUCAAGGAUUAAUUGCUGUAAUGGUUCAUUUUAUACGUCAACUUGACUGGACUUGGGGAUGCUCACAUAGCUGGUAAACAUUGUUUCUGGGUGUGUCUGUGAGGGUGUUUCUGGAAGAGAUUAGCAUUUGAAUCAGUGGACUGAAUACGGAAGAUGACCCUCACCAAUGCAGGUGGGCAUGAUUCAAUCUGUUAAAGGCCUGACUAGAACAAAAAUGCAGAAGAAAAGCAAAUGUGUUCUCUUCGUUUGCACUGGAAAAUCUGUUUUUUCCUGCCCUUGGACAUCUGUGUUCCUGAUUCUCAAGCCUUUGAACUCAGACUGGGACUUGCACUAUCAGCCCCCUGAUUCUCAAGCCUUUUGAUUUGGACUGAAUUACACCACCAGCAUUCCUGGUUCUCCAGCUGGCAGACAGCAUAUCCUGGGCCUUCUCAGCCUCCAAAUCAUGGUAUUGGUGUUCUGGCCAGGUGUCAGGCCUAAGCCUUGGAGGUGGGAGAGCCAAGUUCAGGACACUGGACCACCAGAGACCUCCCAGCCCCAUGUAAUAUCAAUCGGUGAGACCUCUCCCAGAGAUCUCCGUCCCAACGCUAAGACCCAGCUCCACUCAACAACCAGAAAACUCCAGUGCUGGACACCCAUGCCAAACAACUAGCAAGACAGGAACACCACCCCACCCAUUAGCAGAGAGGCUGCCUAAAAUCAUAAUAAGGUCACAGACACCCCAAAACACACCACUGGACUCCGUCCUGCCCACCAGAGAAACAAGAUCCAGCCACAUCCACCAGAACACAGGCACCAGUCCCCUCCACCAGGAAGCGUACACAACCCACUGAACCAACCUUACCUACUGGGGGCAGACACCAAAAACAACAAGAACUAUGAACCUGUAGCCUGCAAAAAGGAGACCCCAAACACAGUAAGUUAAGCAAAAUGAGAAGACAGAGAACUACGAAGCAGAUGAAGGAAAAGGUAAAAACCCACCAGACCAAACAAAUGAGGAGGAAAUACGCAGUCUACCUGAAAAAGAAUUCAGAGUAAUGAUAGUAAAGAUGAUCCAAAAUCUUGGAAAUAGAAUGGAGAAAAUACAAGAAACGUCUAACAACAACAUAAAAGAACUAAAGAACAAACAAACAAUGAUGAAGAACACAAUAAAUGAAAUUAAAAAUUCUCUAGAAGGAAUC